rnacentral:rRNA from 1 species
CCGGAUGUGCUCUCCCCACAUAAGUGGGGACUGGAAAGGAAGCUUCGGCCUCCGCAUCGAGAUGGGCCCGCGGCCCAUUAGCUUGUUGGUGAGGUAACGGCUCACCAAGGCUGCGAUGGGUAGCUGGUCUGAGAGGACGAUCAGCCACACUGGGACUGAGACACGGCCCAGACUCCUACGGGAGGCAGCAGUGGGGAAUCUUGCGCAAUGCGCGAAAGCGUGACGCAGCAACGCCGCGUGGGGGAAGAAGGCCUUCGGGUUGUAAACCCCUUUCAGGAGGGACGAAGCCCGGGCGGUGAAUAGCCGACUCGGGUGACGGUACCUCCAGAAGAAGCCCCGGCUAACUACGUGCCAGCAGCCGCGGUAAUACGUAGGGGGCAAGCGUUGUCCGGAAUCAUUGGGCGUAAAGAGCGUGUAGGCGGUCCGGUAAGUCGGCUGUGAAAGUCCAGGGCUCAACUCUGGGAUGCCGGUCGAUACUGCCGGGCUAGAGUUCGGAAGAGGCGAGUGGAAUUCCCGGUGUAGCGGUGAAAUGCGCAGAUAUCGGGAGGAACACCUAUGGCGAAGGCAGCUCGCUGGGACGUUACUGACGCUGAGACGCG